rnacentral:rRNA from 1 species
AUACAGGUGGUGCAUGGUUGUCGUCAGCUCGUGUCGUGAGAUGUUGGGUUAAGUCCCGCAACGAGCGCAACCCCUAUUAGUUAGUUGCCAUCAUUCAAGUUGGGCACUCUAAUCGAGACUGCCGGUGAUAAACCGGAGGAAGGUGGGGAUGACGUCAAAUCAUCAUGCCCCUUAUGACCUGGGCUACACACGUGCUACAAUGGAUUGGUACAACGAGUCGCCAGCACCAGCUGAUGGUUGAGCUAAUCUCUUAAAAUCACAUUCUCAGUUCGGAUUGUAGGCUGCAACUCGCCUACAUGAAGUCGGAAUCGCUAGUAAUCGCGGAUCAGCACGCCGCGGUGAAUACGUCCCCGGGUCUUGUACACACCGC